GCUCAGGACGAACGCUGGCGGCGUGCCUAAUACAUGCAAGUCGAACGAACUCUGGUAUUGAUUGGUGCUUGCAUCAUGAUUUACAUUUGAGUGAGUGGCGAACUGGUGAGUAACACGUGGGAAACCUGCCCAGAAGCGGGGGAUAACACCUGGAAACAGAUGCUAAUACCGCAUAACAACUUGGACCGCAUGGUCCGAGUUUGAAAGAUGGCUUCGGCUAUCACUUUUGGAUGGUCCCGCGGCGUAUUAGCUAGAUGGUGGGGUAACGGCUCACCAUGGCAAUGAUACGUAGCCGACCUGAGAGGGUAAUCGGCCACAUUGGGACUGAGACACGGCCCAAACUCCUACGGGAGGCAGCAGUAGGGAAUCUUCCACAAUGGACGAAAGUCUGAUGGAGCAACGCCGCGUGAGUGAAGAAGGGUUUCGGCUCGUAAAACUCUGUUGUUAAAGAAGAACAUAUCUGAGAGUAACUGUUCAGGUAUUGACGGUAUUUAACCAGAAAGCCACGGCUAACUACGUGCCAGCAGCCGCGGUAAUACGUAGGUGGCAAGCGUUGUCCGGAUUUAUUGGGCGUAAAGCGAGCGCAGGCGGUUUUUUAAGUCUGAUGUGAAAGCCUUCGGCUCAACCGAAGAAGUGCAUCGGAAACUGGGAAACUUGAGUGCAGAAGAGGACAGUGGAACUCCAUGUGUAGCGGUGAAAUGCGUAGAUAUAUGGAAGAACACCAGUGGCGAAGGCGGCUGUCUGGUCUGUAACUGACGCUGAGGCUCGAAAGUAUGGGUAGCAAACAGGAUUAGAUACCCUGGUAGUCCAUACCGUAAACGAUGAAUGCUAAGUGUUGGAGGGUUUCCGCCCUUCAGUGCUGCAGCUAACGCAUUAAGCAUUCCGCCUGGGGAGUACGGCCGCAAGGCUGAAACUCAAAGGAAUUGACGGGGGCCCGCACAAGCGGUGGAGCAUGUGGUUUAAUUCGAAGCUACGCGAAGAACCUUACCAGGUCUUGACAUACUAUGCAAAUCUAAGAGAUUAGACGUUCCCUUCGGGGACAUGGAUACAGGUGGUGCAUGGUUGUCGUCAGCUCGUGUCGUGAGAUGUUGGGUUAAGUCCCGCAACGAGCGCAACCCUUAUUAUCAGUUGCCAGCAUUAAGUUGGGCACUCUGGUGAGACUGCCGGUGACAAACCGGAGGAAGGUGGGGAUGACGUCAAAUCAUCAUGCCCCUUAUGACCUGGGCUACACACGUGCUACAAUGGAUGGUACAACGAGUUGCGAACUCGCGAGAGUAAGCUAAUCUCUUAAAGCCAUUCUCAGUUCGGAUUGUAGGCUGCAACUCGCCUACAUGAAGUCGGAAUCGCUAGUAAUCGCGGAUCAGCAUGCCGCGGUGAAUACGUUCCCGGGCCUUGUACACACCGCCCGUCACACCAUGAGAGUUUGUAACACCCAAAGUCGGUGGGGUAACCUUUUAGGAACCAGCCGCCUAAGGUGGGACAGAUGAUUAGGGUGAAGUC
rnacentral:rRNA from 1 species